CCACGUCUCGCCUAGCUCGACACCUUCGCCUCGGUACCUCAGACGCCGCCGCUCGCGGAAGGACUCCUCGCACUACCCCUCCGAGAAGGUCCACGACCUCUUCCUCAUGUUGUUCGUCUUCCCGGAGGCCGUCCUCUGGAGAGGUAGGUCGUCCUGCAGGCGUACUAGCGGCGGCGGUACCUGCUGGCGGAGGUGCGGGACCCGGCACCGCUCGCGGCGUGGCGGCAGCGGUCCGACAUGUCGCUCCUCUACGAGCCGGACCGCGUGCUGCGGGUCCUGACGUAGCUGGCGUAGCAGGUGGCGGAGUGGACGUCCGGGGCGCAACCGCCGCCGCCUCCGCCCCCUCCUCGCCGCGACUAGGCGGCCCAGCGGCGGCAGCGGGUGCUCGACUCCUUCCAUGUCUCGGCGAGCCCGAAGCGGCUGCUCUACGCGUUCGAGUUCCGGGCGGAGUUCGUCCGAGUACUCGCGCAGCAGUCGUAGGGGUAGCGGCGGCGGCGGCGGUCGACGACGGUGCUCGCGGGCCGCCAUCGGGGCUGAACAGCGCAGCGCGCGUUGGGCCACCCGUAGCCCUCCGGCCACCUCCUCGAGGAGAGCGACGACCUGCUCCACCUCCCCCUCGGCCUCGUCGACUCCCACUAGAGGCAUCACCCCAAGCCGCCGAACCCCUUUUGGUGCGAGCGGUCCCUCCACAUGUUCCGGGCAGUGCGGCACCUCUUUAAGGUGACGGCACGAACCCAAAGGCGGCCAGCCACCAGCGGUCUCCAGUGGCCGUUGCCCCAGUCACUCUAGGACGCGCUACAUGAGGUCGUUCAAGCGGGGUUUCUGCGGUACCUACAACAACAACGACUACUACCGGUUGCAUAACUUCGGAACGAGUUCCUUAUGGAGUGCCUAUUCUCCAUAAAUUAACAGUAUCUACUGUAACCCUACCUCGUUACCUCGUGAUAUUUAAGGUAAAAACUUUUGUUACCGUUUUCGUCGUCUUAGGAUGACUGGUGUUGAUAAGUCAGUUGUCGAUUAUAGACGUCGGUACCGUUACCAAUACACAUGGUUUACUUGUGUGAACCACUUCUCCUGAGGUUCUUUUAUCGAGAAGUCCUCCAUGGCAGCGGACUCGACCUCGUCCCCAGGUACUGCGACGACGUCUUUACACCACCAGAAGGUGAACGAGAGCAGUCACAGAGGCUAAAGGACUUUACGAGUCCACUCGGAUGUCCCCUCGCUACGCGUCUCGAUACGGCAUUGGACCCAAGAGUAGACUCUCUCUUCGUACCGGUACUGUUAAAGUGCCUUGAUUCUUUCCACGACUACGUAUUGAUACUGUCAAACAGACACAUACGAUACUGGACGAACGAUAUAGAACCACAUAAGGGUUUGUUGGCAGGGGAGUUCUCCUUUCAACAAUAGUCCUCCACCAAUCGGCUUCCUAUACGUGCCUCACUAAGAGAAGCGUCACUCCUCCUGUAACGCCUACUCUGAAAGUUCCGCGAACAACUGGCCUUAUAGUAUGUCAGGUAACUAUGUUCCUUAUUACGCGUUCACUUCUGCACGUACUGAGUACCGUAGUACGUGCUCAAACACGACGUGUUCAGACACAGUGUCCCCAAGUAGCGCUGUAGCAGAGCACUAGUAGGUUCUGGAGUACGGGUACAAUUAUUACGGACGGUGGAAAGAUAGGUACCACCGUUACACUGUCUAUUACUCCGGAGACUGUUCCUAAACAGAGCACAAGCCAGAGACUGUCAGAAACCUUUUCGUCCACUACGAUAAAGAAUACAGGCAUUCACGUUUGACGAUGCUCAGAACCUAGACCUUCUUACGUUACUGGACCUUCUGUCAGUGGAGUUUGUGUAUCCGUUCGAUACCGUAGACUUUAUAGAUUCACAACCCCCGUGCUAACGCUUCGAAGGCUCGUCAUAACUACCUGACGUAUCGAACCUCUGGGAUCUAAACUCCUCUUGGUUCUAUUUCUGAAACGGGUAACUCCGGUAAUACGACAUGGUGAAUCGGGUAGACAAGCCUUUCAAAUGUCAACUGUUUCUUCUAGAUUUGUUACGUUUGUUUUACUCGUUUCGUUACUUCAAGAACAGGCCUUUGUUCUCGUUGGACUUCUGAAAUCGACCUAAACGGUGUUUGCUCUCCGUUCCCAAAGAAGUUGAAUACCAAGUGUACUCUUUAGACUCUUUCCAGUUCUAUACCACACCCGGUCAACGUUUACCUUCAUUGAUGUGGUUACUAGAAAGGUUCCGGUAAGUCCUUAAGUGGUUCCAGGGGUACCUGUUACACCCACGGGCAAGAGAUAGUGAACUAAGUCUUCUUACAAGGCUUCUGAACGACUCAAGCGAACGAAAACUCGGUACGGGGCUUCUAAGGUUUAUACUACAUUCCAGUGACUUCGAUGCACCGUUCGAUAAGGUCAAUGGGGGUAAACAAGGGAACGACAGUCCAGAGUGACUUGACACAUAAAGUAGUCGAUGAGACUGUGCCCUAGAAGAUAACAGAGACUAGUUAAACUCUUUGAACGAAAUGGAGUUCAACUAACGCUUACUCGAACUCUUUAAACUUUACUUUAGUCCCCGUAAGGGUUCGGACGCCGCAGACACGAAACACCACGUUUCAGAGUGAAGUCGAGACGGUCGUUAGCUUGUACCUCGAGACGGUUUGGAACAGAGUGAGGUCGACGAAACGGACCCAGAUCGACCAAAAAGGUCGUAGGUUUAGUCUGUGGAGUCUGUAGAGUUCCUCCAGUGCCAGCUGAGACCUCACGGACUGGUUUGUUCUGUUCUGACCCUCGUGCGUUGUUUCUUGGUGGGCUUAUCCGGCUCUGAGCACAACGUGUUUUCACCACAAGCUUACCUUUCGCUCCCUGGCCCAUUACUUCUUCGAAGACGACACUCCCUCUUCGCCUUUUAUACACAUGAGGUUGGCUCAAACCUACUGCCUGACCUAAGAUCAGAGUUCUUCUACUUUGAAAGUAGUCUCAGAAGAAGCGCAGAAGUUCACUAGCAGGUAAGGUGAAGGAGUAGACCAGUGACUCCGUCUACCGUCACGAUGAAGUCACUUCGUUUGACGAUGCCACUACUAAGUCGAACAUGUGUGUUUAGUCUCUGUCUUAUCUACUACUCGACGACAACAUAACACACCACAAGACAACAAUGUUUCAAGUGGUACGACGUCUAACAUUUUAUUAGAAACAAAGGUACAGGCUAGGUGGUGAACGUUGACAUAUAAGUGCAGUACGUUCUUUGCCUCGUCCCGCUUUCGAUCGUGAUGCAGCUGACAAGAAGUCUUCGAUUGUUUGUCGACGAACGACCAAUUCGGGCUGCGGGUGGUACGACGGGACGUGCCGCAGCGCUGCCUCGAGUACUUGCGGGAGUACUGAAGACACCUCCGUAGAGAGAUCUCGUUCGUGUACCGCAUAAGGUACUGUCGCCGUAACGUCCCGUCGUACCAGGAGGACAGUAGCGGCGGAUGUUUCGGUUUGAGGAGGACCCUGUAGCAGUCUUCGAGCGACUUCUAGUUACACGACUCCAUACGAUCGCCGUGGAGCUUGGCGCGGGACAGUCGCCACAUGUUUUGUGUCACCGGGAAGUAGCGGUGACUGCCGCUACACCGUGUCGUGAGCAGUAACCGACGAGGAAAGCGGUGACAGCACCAGACCCACAUCACCACGACGAAAUCGAACAUGAAAGACCUACUUGAGUUCACUACCACCACGAUUCGACUACUUAAAUAUCCACUCCCUAUUUCCUUUCUCUUGUUACGUCAAAUCCAGGUCGAUAGUACUGUUCAACCCUUCGGUACUCGAGUCUCGUACGUUACGACAUUCACGUUCCCGUUCAUCACACUAGAACUAAUCUAAGAGACCCCGGUAGACAAACGGUGAACAACCCCUGCUACGAAAACCCGUACGAACCUGUUAUGUCAUACGACGGUAUGAGUGGACAAAAUCACCGUUGGAUUCUUCGUAUAUUGCCUUACACCCCUGGUACACAUCUAACACAGUACUAGACAAACACUAACACGUUACUCUAUGGUUGAUUAAUAAUAAAAACCCACGAACCAUUAUAGUAUUACUAUUCUUCAUGUUAUACAUCACCAGGGAAUUUUCUUCA
rnacentral:rRNA from 1 species